AUUGAACGCUGGCGGCAGGCCUAACACAUGCAAGUCGAACGAGUGGCGGACGGGUGAGUAAUGUCUGGGAAACUGCCUGAUGGAGGGGGAUAACUACUGGAAACGGUAGCUAAUACCGCAUACCAUCGGAUGUGCCCAGAUGGGCUUAGCUAGUAGGUGGGGUAAAGGGUCACCUAGGCGACGAUCCCUAGCUGGUCUGAGAGGAUGACCAGCCACACUGGAACUGAGACAAGGACCAGAGUCCUCAGGGAGGCAGCAGUGGGGUAUAUGGCACAAUGGGCGCAAGCCUGAUGCAGCCAUGCCGCGUGUGUGAAGAAGGCCUUCGGGUUGUAAAGUACUUUCAGCGGGUAGGCGUUACCCGCAGAAGAAGCACAGGCUAACUACGUGCCAGCCGCCGCGGUAAUAC
rnacentral:rRNA from 1 species